rnacentral:rRNA from 1 species
UAGGGAAUAUUGGACAAUGGGUGAGAGCCUGAUCCAGCCAUGCCGCGUGCAGGAAGAAGGCGUUAUGCGUUGUAAACUGCUUUAGCCAGGGGAUAAAAAGACUCUGCGGAGUUAAUUGAAGGUACCUGGAUAAUAAGCCACGGCUAACUACGUGCCAGCAGCCGCGGUAAUACGUAGGUGGCAAGCGUUGUCCGGAUUUAUGGGUUUAAAGGGUGCGUAGGCGGCCUUAUAAGUCAGUGCUGAAAUAUCCCGGCUUAACCGGGAGGGUGGCAUUGAUACUGUAGGGCUUGAGUACAGAUGAAGUAGGCGGAAUUGACGGUGUAGCGGUGAAAUGCAUAGAUAUCGUCAAGAACACCGAUAGCGAAGGCAGCUUACUAAGCUGUAACUGACGCUGAGGCACGAAAGUGUGGGGAUCAAACAGGAUCAGAUACCCUGGUAGUCCACACUGUAAACGUUGAUGA